GCAGGGAAGUCUUUGGAAGGGCAACAUGAUGAGGGACCAUCCACAUUACAGCACUCUACGAGUACUCAAAUGAUAUCUAAAAGUCUAUGGAAAAAAAAGGUGUCUGCAGGGUCCUGAUGAGGAAAUGCCUCUGAGAGAUUCUGGGGACACAUAUUCUCCAUCCACAGUUGAAGAGUUUGAAGAGAUGACAACUGACACCAUUGGACUCAGAUGGCUGCGAGCAACCUGAAGUCCAGUGCUUGGUCCUUUCAAUAAGGAUGGAAAGAUAGCCACUGAGAAUCAGUUCUGCAGUCCAUGUGAAAUGGAUACAGUUGUCAACAGUGAGAAGGUUUGUAUUGUACUUCUUUAUUUCAGCUCCACAACUGAUUCCUGGAUCUUAAGCUUGUUAAAGAGCAACUCAGGAUCAGGGAUAUCCUCUACUAAGCACACUAGCCUGUCAGCUGACCGCUUCAGGGUCCCCCCAACACCGUCCAGGGCCCCUUUGCUAUGACUGGCCUCAAAGAAAUUCCAAUUGACAUCAAAGCCUCUUUUGAAGGGCUCAGUGGAAAGAAAAAAUAAGUUUCCUUUCUGUUUGAACUGGGUUGCCGGCCCAUCAUUGGAAAAAGUGGAGCUGAGUCACCUGGGGAAACCUUGACUGAACCAUAUCCAGGACUGGAUCCAGGUGUGCCCAAUUUGCCAGUGGAUCAUGUCUCUGCGAAGGGGAAAUCUGUGCUGCUGUAUAUAUUACAGCAGUGUGCAUGGUUGGCUGCUGGUGGAUCCCCCAGAAUGGACAGACUGCACUUCAUUUGCAUAAAUAUUGCACAAAUAGUUUUCACUGAAGUCCACAUGAAUUAAACAUUCAUGGUCCUUGAGAUCUUCUCUAAGUUGCCUGUAGGCCCUAUACUGCCAACGUAUGUUGAACAGAUGUUGCCUGAAUUGUACCAUUCUUUCCUGGAAUUGAUCAACAACUUCAUUCUCAAUUUUGGUCACUUCUUUUUUGACAGUUAUUAUGGCCUUUUUCUCCUUAUGUAAUGCGGAUGUUUCGAUUGACCAUUGGGUGAGUGAAAUGACAUUGAUGGAGGCAGGUCUCACCAUGGUCACAGAGGCAGUGCAGCAACUUGCACACUGUUGCAUCAGCCAUCUCUUCAAGGUUGUUUGAGGAUAAAAGCCCACAUUUGAAGAGGGUGCUGGCCAUGAACCUGAUAUUUUCAUGGGUUUUACAUAGAUAGGUCUUCCUGUCACUUUCAGUGGGUGUAACUACCAAAAAUGGCCUAAGGCUAUCGAAAAACGAAUAUGACACCUUGUUAGUAUUUUCAGAUUGUAACUUCCUGUAUAGGUUUUUUUAGUGUGUCAGUCAGCAGCCUCUUCUGCAUCUUUUUUUUUCUUUGGGGUGACUGUUUCUCGCUUACCUAUUGUCAUUCGGCUGACAUCAUACCUCAAGAAGAGUGAUUUUCUUAUUUCUAUUUUUCUGAUGUUGACCUUACUGUCUUUGCCUAAAACACAACAAUAUAACACAAUUAAUAUGUAAUUAAUGUGUUUUGUGCAUGAAACAACGGCACUUACUGUAAACUUUUACCAAAUAACUCCAUCCUACCAUACAAAUGUCCUGACUUCGAGUACUCUGCCAUUGAUUCCAGUUCAGGAGGGGAAAUAGGGGUCGCUGUCAGAGACGGUAUCACUGCCCUGGCCUUUUCUCUGGCUUUCACCUCUCUUUUCCUUCCCCUCCAUUUUUUUUUCGUUGGCCAUGCUUUUCGCGCUCAGUGAGGUCUGUAAUUUGUUUCUUUUUCCCUGUCUCUCGCUGCCAUUUCUCUCUCUCUGCGGAUACUUUUCUCAUCUCUCAGGGUCUGCAUCUCUCUUUGCCCUGUAGCGAUGCUGCAUCUCAGCUGCAAUAGGUGGUGGUGCCAUUUCCUAACAAAUAUAUAUAAUGUCAUUAUUUUUCAACCAUACAAUUUCUAUUAUAUUAUACUGUAUUAUGUUUUUGUAUAUAGGGGGAACACUGGGAUGAAAGUAACACUUUGCAGAUAAACAUUACAGACAGAAACUAAUUUUCAUUGUAAUCAACAACUCACGUAUGGUCUAUCAAUACCAGGUGCUAUUUUGUACAAAUGUAGGACGACUUUGGUAUAAUUUGACUUUGAACAGAGGUUGCAAAUUGUUACUUUCAGCCCUGUCAGUUCGGACAAAAGUAACACACGGAUGGGUCAAAACUAGUGCAACGCAUAAACUUGAAUUGUUUAUAUUAGUCUUGUUUUUAUUAAAACGUCUG